GAGAGCCGGAUGCGGGAGAUCUGCCUGUCCGGUUCGAUGAGCGUUGCGCCUUGCAAGCGCGUUGAAGUCUGCCGUCUGCGAU
rnacentral:misc_RNA from 1 species